rnacentral:rRNA from 1 species
AGAGUUUGAUCAUGGCUCAGAACGUACGCUGGCGGCACGCCUAACACAUGCAAGUCGAACGAAGUAGCAAUACUUAGUGGCAGACGGGUGAGUAACAUGUGGGUAUCUGCCCUUUGGCCUGGAAUGACACGAGGAAACUUGUGCUAAUACCGGAUAAGUCUUUACAGAGAAAGCUUUAUGCACCAUUGGAUGAGCCCGCACUUGAUUAGUUUGUUGGUGGGGUAAUGGCCUACCAAGACUUUGAUCAAUAGCUGAUUUGAGAGGAUGAUCAGCCACAUUGGGACUGAGACGCGGCCCAAACUCCUACGGGAGGCAGCAGUGGGGAAUCUUGCACAAUGGAGGAAACUCCGAUGCAGCGAUGCCGCGUGAGUGAAGAAGGCCCUUGGGUUGUAAAGCUCUUUCGUCGGGGAAGAAAAUGACUGUACCCGAAUAAGAAGGUCCGGCUAACUACGUGCCAGCAGCCGCGGUAAUACGAAGGGACCUAGCGUAGUUCGGAAUUACUGGGCUUAAAGAGUUCGUAGGUGGUUGAAAAAGUUGGUGGUGAAAUCCCAGAGCUUAACUCUGGAACUGCCAUCAAAACUUUUCAGCUAGAGUUUGAUAGAGGAAAGCAGAAUUUCUAGUGUAGAGGUGAAAUUCGUAGAUAUUAGAAAGAAUACCAAUUGCGAAGGCAGCUUUCUGGAUCAUUACUGACACUGAGGAACGAAAGCAUGGGUAGCGAAGAGGAUUAGAUACCCUCGUAGUCCAUGCCGUAAACGAUGUGUGUUAGACGUUGGAAAUUUAUUUUCAGUGUCGCAGCGAAAGCGAUAAACACACCGCCUGGGGAGUACGACCGCAAGGUUAAAACUCAAAUGAAUUGACGGGGACCCGCACAAGUAGUGGAGCAUGUGGUUUAAUUCGAAGAUACGCGCAGAACCUUACCAACACUUGACAUGUUCGUCGCGACUUUAAGAGAUUAAAGUUUUCGGUUCGGCCGGACGAAACACAGGUGCUGCAUGGCUGUCGUCAGCUCGUGUCGUGAGAUGUUGGGUUAAGUCCCGCAACGAGCGCAACCCUCACUUUUAGUUGCCAUCAUUAAGUUGGGCACUCCGAAAGAACUGCCAGUGAUAAGCUGGAGGAAGGUGGGGAUGACGUCAAGUCCUCAUGGCCCUUACGUGUUGGGCUACACACGUGCUACAAUGGUAUCUACAACAGGAAGCAAAACAGCGAUGUUAAGCAAAUCCUUAAAAGAUACCUCAGUUCGGAUUGCACUCUGCAACUCGAGUGCAUGAAGCUGGAAUUACUAGUAAUCGUGGAUCAGCGUGCCACGGUGAAUGCGUUCCCGGGUCUUGUAGA